GACGAACGCUGGCGGCGUGCUUAACACAUGCAAGUCGAACGGUGAACCUCUUCGGAGGGGAUCAGUGGCGAACGGGUGAGUAACACGUGGGCAACCUGCCCCCGGCUCUGGGAUAACUCCAAGAAAUUGGGGCUAAUACCGGAUGUUCACCGCUUCCCGCAUGGGUGGUGGUGGAAAGGGUUUCCGGCUGGGGAUGGGCCCGCGGCCUAUCAGCUUGUUGGUGGGGUAGUGGCCUACCAAGGCGACGACGGGUAGCCGGCCUGAGAGGGUGACCGGCCACGUGGGGCCGGGGACGGGCCCCGGCCCCCGCCGGGGGGGGGCGGGGGGGAAUUUUGCGAAGGGGGGGGAGGCCUGACGCGGCGGCCCGGGGGGGGGGAGGACGGCCUGCGGUUGUAAACCCUUUUCCAGGGGGCACGGGGCGCAAGGGACGGUCCCUAAAAAAAAAGCACCGCCCACCUAGGUC
rnacentral:rRNA from 1 species